GAUGAACGCUGGCGGCGUGCCUAACACAUGCAAGUCGAACGGAGUUAUUAUUAUGAAGUCUUCGGAUGGAUUAAUGAUAACUUAGUGGCGGACGGGUGAGUAACGCGUGGGUAACCUGCCUCAUACAGGGGGAUAACAGUUGGAAACGACUGCUAAAACCGCAUAAUAUUGCGACAUCGCAUGAUGAUGCAAUUAAAUAUUUAUAGGUAUGAGAUGGGCCCGCGUCUGAUUAGCUAGUUGGUGGGGUAAUGGCCUACCAAGGCAACGAGCAGUAGCCGGCGUGAGGGAGGGACCGGCCACAUUGGGACUGAGACGCGGCCCAAACUCCUACGGGAGGCAGCAGUGGGGAAUAUUGCACAAUGGGGGAAACCCUGAUGCAGCGACGCCGCGUGAGUGAAGAAGUAUUUCGGUAUGUAAAGCUCUAUCAGCAGGGAAGAAAAUGACGGUACCUGACUAAGAAGCCCCGGCUAACUACGUGCCAGCAGCCGCGGUAA
rnacentral:rRNA from 1 species